rnacentral:rRNA from 1 species
UACGAGGGGGGCGAGCGUUGUUCGGAAUUAUUGGGCGUAAAGGGUGCGUAGGCGGUUCGGUUAGUUUUAUGUGAAAUCUUUGGGCUUAACUCGAAGCCUGCAUAAAAUACUGCCGGGCUUGAGUAUGGGAGAGGUGAGUGGAAUUUCCGGUGUAGCGGUGAAAUGCGUAGAUAUCGGAAGGAACACCUGUGGCGAAAGCGGCUCACUGGACCAUAACUGACGCUGAGGCACGAAAGCUAGGGGAGCAAACAGG